AACGAACGCUGGCGGCAUACCUAACACAUGCAAGUCGAACGAGAUCUUCGGGUCUAGUGGCGCACGGGUGCGUAACGCGUGGGAAUCUGCCCUUUGGUUCGGAAUAACAGUUGGAAACGACUACUAAUACCGGAUGAUGACUAAAGUCCAAAGAUUUAUCGCCAGGGGAUGAGCCCGCGUAGGAUUAGCUAGUUGGUGUGGUAAGGCGCACCAAGGCGACGAUCCUUAGCUGGUCUGAGAGGAUGAUCAGCCACACUGGGACUGAGACACGGCCCAGACUCCUACGGGAGGCAGCAGUGGGGAAUAUUGGACAAUGGGCGAAAGCCUGAUCCAGCAAUGCCGCGUGAGUGAUGAAGGCCUUAGGGUUGUAAAGCUCUUUUACCCGGGAUGAUAAUGACAGUACCGGGAGAAUAAGCUCCGGCUAACUCCGUGCCAGCCGCCGCCGUAA
rnacentral:rRNA from 1 species